CCCUUCCCGAUUUUCACUACAUAGGACACACAUAAUAUUUUCUGAAAAUGGCAUCCUACACUAAUCAAUAUUCUGUAGCCUAUUUUAUUUAUUUAAGACCUUAUGAUCAUCUUACGAGUGCAUAUGGGGAGGGAAAAAUGGAUGUAAGGGAUAAAAUGCUAAAAUGCAUGGAUGUCCUCAAAUGCAUUUGAAACAACAGUAAUCCUACGUGGGAUGAAUUUUCCUAUCCUGUGUUACAGUUAUGUCUGUAAUGAACAUGCUUAUAUUCUCCUUUGUCCUACUACGUCGCUCUAAGUAGUUGUACAGUUUCUUUCAGGCUGCGUUCCAUUGUUACUGUUGCUCCUUUCAUACAGAAGUCUGUUAUUGCUGAUGCACUUCCAUGGGAAGGUGCUUCCCUGGGUUCUGGUAGAUUGGUCACAUCGAUGAGAAGUCAGACAAGUAAGGUCCAGUCACAAAGGUGACUGCCCUGCGUCAUGUCAGCUCACACCGCUCUUUUCUUUUAAGAUUUUUUUAUUUGAGAGAGAAUGAGCAGGAGGGGCAGAGGGAGAGAGAGAGAGAGAGAAUCUCAAGCAGACUCCACGCUGAGCACCCAGUCCGACACGGGGCUCAAUCUCAUGACCCUGAGAUUACAGCCUGAGCCGAAACCAAGAGUCAGAUGCUCAACCGACUGCACCAGCCAGGCGUCCCAAGCUCACACCACUCUUAAGUAUCUCUGGUCUGAGGAGGAGGCUCCCUGGACUCCACGGGCUCCAUGGAUUUGUUUCCCAUCCUUGCCUCUCACACUUCCUUCUAAAGAAGAGGCAACUUUCUCUUCAUAAAGCAUUCUGAUGCAACUCAUGCAAUCCCAGGCCUCUGUGGAGAGAGGAUCGUGAAGGCGAGCCAGUCUGCUCCCAGGGUUUCUGCUGGCACGCUGUCUCCUAGAGCUCCGACACUGACAAGUCCUGUUUAUUCAUGCUCAAGGCCACGGCUCUAGCAAUACAGCCCUGAGACUGAUGCAUUCAGGGACGCCUGGGGGUCUACCAGCAUGUCUCUCUCAUUUCUUGGAACACAGCACUAGUUUUUUGGAAAUGAACACUGAGUUGGCCACUCAGCCCAGUGCACACUUGUUACAAUGAAAAGCAGUUGUUGUUUCUGGCUUGCAGUGGUCAUCCGUCUGCAAUUUCAAUGCUAUGCAAGGUGGGCUUUGUUUUUCUUUUUUCCUCUUUUUUACUAUCUUUAUUUUCCUUGGUACUUAAGUGGUUAAAGGUAUAUUUAAAUUUAUUCUUCUUCUAUCUAGAGAGCAAACAAGAUUUCCAAGAUCAAUAUUAUAAACUUCAGGAACGAUUGUGAAUGGGUUGUUCAAGUUACGUAAGGCAAGCCCUCCAAUGUUUGCUCAAUUUUCUUCUCUAACACACGGAAUUAGAAGUCUUGACUUGCCAACUGGAACUUUGGCUGGUGAUCGAAUGCAAAAAACUAGGACUAUCUUCUGACUCGAUGGUGGUGAAGUCUUCCCACUUGGCAGGGUCCUCCUUGGUUUUCGCUGACUUACUGCUGCUUUGAUGGAACUAUCCAGAUGGUUUCCCAAUUCAGACUUCAACUUCUUUUCCAUCACCCUGGUGUGGAUUAAUGCAGCCCCUAGCAUGUGCAUGGCAGGGCAUUGAAGCCAAAGGAUCUUUACAGCCGACUUCCUCCAUCCAGGAGGUGGGCUCAAGUACUGGUAAUGAUAGACCUCGACGGUCCCUCGCCUGCUGCCAGAGGGGGCCCCCGAAGGAGAAAGAAAGCGGGGAGAAGUGGCUGGAUGACUCACCGCUCCCCUUUGAAACUGGAGCCUGGGUUAAGGGCGUUGGUAUCUGCUGAUCCACAU